CGCGCUCCGGCGUCUCCUCGGCGCGCCCGGCUCCAGGCUGUCCCCGCCCGGCGUGCGAGCCAGUGUAUGGGCCCCUCACCAUGUCGCUGAAGCCCCAGCAACAGCAGCCGCCCGCGGCCGCCACUGCCCGCAAACCCGGAGGCGGCGGCCUUCUCACGUCGCCCGCUGCCGCGCCGCCGUCCUCGUCCUCAGUCUCGGCGUCCUCGGCCGUGGCUUCCUCCUCCUCCUCCUCGGCUGCCGCGGCCGGCGCAGGCGGCGGGCGGCCUGGCCUGGGCAGAGGUCGAAACAAUAGCAAAGGACUGCCUCAGUCUACGAUUUCUUUUGAUGGAAUCUAUGCAAAUAUGAGGAUGGUUCAUAUACUUACAUCAGUUGUUGGAUCCAAAUGUGAGGUACAAGUGAAAAAUGGAGGUAUUUAUGAAGGAGUUUUUAAAACAUACAGUCCUAAGUGCGAUUUGGUACUUGAUGCUGCACAUGAGAAAAGUACAGAAUCCAGUUCGGGGCCAAAACGUGAAGAAAUAAUGGAGAGUAUUUUGUUCAAGUGUUCAGACUUUGUUGUGGUACAGUUUAAAGAUAUGGACUCCAGUUAUGCAAGAAGAGAUGCUUUUACUGACUCUGCUAUCAGUGCUAAAGUGAAUGGUGAACACAAAGAGAAGGACCUGGAGCCCUGGGAUGCAGGUGAACUCUCAACCAGCGAAGAACUGGAGGCUUUGGAAAACGACGUAUCUAAUGGAUGGGAUCCCAAUGAUAUGUUUCGAUAUAAUGAAGAAAAUUAUGGAGUAGUGUCUACAUAUGAUAGCAGUUUAUCUUCAUAUACGGUACCCUUAGAAAGGGAUAACUCAGAAGAAUUUUUAAAACGGGAAGCAAGGGCAAACCAGUUAGCAGAAGAAAUUGAAUCAAGUGCUCAGUACAAAGCUCGAGUGGCCCUGGAAAAUGAUGAUAGAAGCGAGGAAGAAAAAUAUACAGCAGUUCAGAGAAAUUCCAGUGAACGUGAGGGGCACAGCAUAAACACUAGGGAAAAUAAAUAUAUUCCUCCUGGACAAAGAAAUAGAGAAGUCAUAUCCUGGGGAAGUGGGAGACAGAAUUCACCACGUAUGGGCCAGCCUGGAUCGGGCGCCAUGCCAUCAAGAUCCACUUCUCACACUUCAGAUUUCAACCCGAAUUCUGGUUCAGACCAAAGAGUAGUUAAUGGAGGUGUUCCCUGGCCAUCGCCUUGCCCAUCUCCUUCCUCUCGCCCACCUUCUCGCUACCAGUCAGGUCCCAACUCUCUUCCACCUCGGGCAGCCACCCCUACACGGCCGCCCUCCAGGCCCCCCUCGCGGCCAUCCAGACCCCCGUCUCACCCCUCUGCUCAUGGUUCUCCAGCUCCUGUCUCUACUAUGCCUAAACGCAUGUCUUCAGAAGGGCCUCCAAGGAUGUCCCCAAAGGCCCAGCGACACCCUCGAAAUCACAGAGUUUCUGCUGGGAGGGGCUCUAUAUCUAGUGGCCUAGAAUUUGUAUCCCACAAUCCACCAAGUGAAGCAGCUACUCCUCCAGUGGCAAGGACUAGUCCUACAGGGGGAACAUGGUCAUCAGUGGUCAGUGGUGUUCCAAGAUUAUCUCCCAAAACUCACAGACCCAGGUCUCCCAGACAGAACAGUAUUGGAAAUACUCCCAGUGGGCCAGUGCUUGCUUCUCCCCAAGCUGGUAUCAUUCCAGCUGAAGCUGUUGCCAUGCCCAUUCCAGCUGCAUCUCCUACACCUGCCAGUCCUGCAUCCAACAGAGCUGUGACCCCAUCGAUGGAAGCUAAAGAUUCCAGGCUUCAAGAUCAGAGGCAGAACUCUCCAGCAGGGAAUAAAGAAAAUGUUAAGCCCAAUGAAACAUCACCUAGCUUUUCAAAAGCUGAAAACAAAGGUAUAUCACCAGUUGUUUCUGAACAUAGAAAACAAAUCGAUGAUUUAAAGAAGUUUAAGAAUGAUUUUAGGUUACAGCCAAGUUCUACUUCUGAAUCUAUGGAUCAACUACUAAACAAAAAUAGAGAUGGAGAAAAAUCAAGAGAUGUGAUCAAAGACAAAAUUGAACCAAGUUCUAAGGAUUCUUUCAUUGAAAAUAGCAGCAGCAACUGCACCAGUGGCAGCAGCAAGCCGAACAGUCCCAGUAUCUCCCCUUCAAUACUUAGUAACACUGAGCACAAGAGGGGACCUGAGGUUACAUCCCAAGGGGUGCAGACUUCUAGCCCAGCAUGUAAACAAGAGAAGGAUGAUAAAGAGGAGAAGAAAGAUGCAGCUGAGCAAGUUAGGAAAUCAACAUUGAAUCCCAAUGCAAAGGAGUUCAACCCUCGCUCCUUUUCUCAGCCAAAGCCUUCUACAACCCCAACUUCUCCUCGACCUCAAGCACAACCUAGCCCAUCUAUGGUGGGUCACCAACAGCCAACUCCAGUUUAUACUCAGCCUGUUUGUUUUGCACCAAAUAUGAUGUAUCCAGUCCCAGUGAGCCCAGGUGUGCAACCUUUAUACCCAAUACCUAUGACGCCCAUGCCAGUGAAUCAAGCCAAGACAUAUAGAGCAGGUAAAGUACCAAAUAUGCCCCAACAGCGGCAAGACCAGCAUCAUCAGAGCACCAUGAUGCACCCAGCCUCUGCAGCAGGUCCACCCAUUGUAGCCACCCCACCAGCUUACUCCACUCAGUAUGUUGCCUAUAGUCCUCAGCAGUUUCCAAAUCAGCCACUAGUUCAGCAUGUGCCACAUUAUCAGUCUCAGCAUCCUCAUGUUUAUAGUCCUGUAAUACAGGGUAACGCGAGAAUGAUGGCACCACCAACACAUGCCCAGCCUGGUUUAGUAUCUUCUUCUGCAACCCAGUACGGGGCUCACGAGCAGACACACGCGAUGUACGCAUGCCCCAAAUUACCAUACAACAAGGAGACAAGUCCUUCUUUCUACUUUGCCAUUUCCACGGGCUCCCUUGCUCAGCAGUAUGCGCACCCUAACACUACCCUGCACCCACAUACUCCACAUCCUCAGCCUUCAGCUACCCCCACUGGACAGCAACAAAGCCAACAUGGUGGAAGUCAUCCUGCACCCAGUCCUGUUCAGCACCAUCAGCACCAGGCCGCCCAGGCUCUCCAUCUGGCCAGUCCACAGCAGCAGUCAGCCAUUUACCACGCGGGGCUCGCACCAACCCCACCUUCCAUGACACCUGCCUCCAAUACGCAGUCGCCACAGAAUAGUUUCCCAACAGCACAACAGACCGUCUUUACAAUCCAUCCUUCUCACGUUCAGCCGGCAUAUACCAAUCCACCCCACAUGGCCCAUGUACCUCAGUUCUGGUUCAAGGUAUCUCUAGAAAAUGACAAGACUGAGAUAUUCUCUUUGGUGGAUUAGCAGUCGGCUUCAGAAGGAGGAAGGCUGGCCAGAGUUGGGCAGCACUGAAAGUCCACAGCCUCAAGCUGGCGCCGAUUCUAAAUGAUCAAAGGCAGAAGAUUUAUACCAGAUAAAGCCAUAUGGAUUGCUGGUCUAAAAUUCAAGGCAGUGCUGGGGAUUGGACCCAGGGCCUUACAUGUGAGGCGAGCACUCUGUCAACUGAGCUAUACAACUCUUCUUGCUCCUUUCUGGAUGGCAGCACACCCUCCUGGGCGCCUAUUGUGAGUCGUGAGUCAGCUGCUCCCUCAGUACAGGCUGCAUCCAUAGGGGUCCCCAUGGCUACAUCUCCAGCCUCCCCUCCCAUGUAGGAGCAGGGAACAGCGUCUCCUUUCCUAGAAAGGCCCAGUGCCAGACGGAGAGGCCUAUGCAGCCAGAAAGAGCAGAGCCAGAUGCUGCAAGAUGCUCCUAAAUCCCCCUGCUUGUGGGAUUCCCCCCUCUCCCUGCAGGUGGCACCCAUCUCACACUAAGUGACCAAGUAAAGGGAUGGUGGCAGGACACACAUCCCUCCCCCUCCCCAGUGAGGCCUGUGUGCAGUAAUUAUUAGCUCAAGACACUUGGAUCAAGGCACAUGGGGGGUGACCCAGAUGGGAGCUGCAGGUGUGUCUAAAGCCCCACCCCCUGAGCAAGCUCCCCUCAGUCCCAUGAGGGUCCCUCCAUAUCAGAAAGAAUCUACAGUACAGGAAGAUAAAGCCCCCUCAGGAAAAUCACCCCACACAGUAACAUGGACAGGGACACAAAGCCCUUCUCAAAAGCUGGAGCACAUUCCUGAGAAAGCCCCCAGACACACAGCCAGUCUGCGUCCCUCCUAGAUGGGGUGUCCUGGCCAAUUCCCAUGCCACCCGUAGGAAGGGGCACAGCUCCUGUCUCAGGUCAACAUAGUGCGACCACUCCUGGAAACCCCAUGCUUUCCCUCCCUGGGCAGAAGGAACAGGGGAGCCUGGUGCCUUGGCCUGCUCCUUGUCACACAGGGAGAAGUGGAGGGUGCUCCUCAGGCUAGGCCAAGGACAUAGGGCCCCUGGAACAUGCAAAAGGCUGUGAGCCUGUUUACUGUGCCUCAGUCAGUCCCCCACCAGUGUCCCCAGAACGCCAGGACAGCCCUGAGUAUAGUCAGCAAAACCCCCGCUGGCCAGCGUUGCCAACCACAAACCCUCUGCCAUGGGCCCCACCUUGGAUGACCACAUCCUGUACCCGCUAUGGCCAGGCCAAGUAACUGGGCUGCACCUUUGCUCAUGAGCAGCUGUAGGCCUCUCCAGGUCCAGGCAUCCCGGGCUACCAGCUGCCAAGCAGGGCUUGGUCUCACAGCCAUAUCAUGUUUAGGCCCCAGGUGGGUAUCAGGGCCCAAGGGAGCCAUACUGUCCAACCAGAUACAACAUGACCAGCUGAGGGAAGCCCUGCCCCAGGACGCACCUCCAAAUCUGCUCAGUACCAGCAAGGGUGGAAAAGCUGUGGUUAAGGAACAACAGACAACCCAUCACCAGCCUAGGAGGGGAGAGUACCAAGAGGAGGGGACUGUCACCACCAGUAUGCCCAGAAGCCCGCGGCCCCUGGUGGCUGCCUUCGAAGAAUGAUGAUUCAGAAGGAGAGGUGAAAGCGAGAGCCCCUGGAGCCAAGGUAGGGGGAAGUGGGGGGAAGCUCCGCUGUGCGACUCCCCCAAGCCCCGCAGAGCAGCAGGAAAGCCCACAUUCUCCUCCCCCCACUCCAGCUCCAGUUUACUGAGCACUUACUACGGUGUGCAGGCCUUGACACAGCAUUCCUGACACUACAAAACCGUGGGAAUCACACCAGCCACUAUGAAUGAAGACCAGUUGGAUUAAGAAAGGAAAAAGGAGCUCUGGGUAUGGUGGCACAUGCCUGUGAUCUCAGUGGCUCGGGAGGCUGAGGCAGUAGGAUCACAAGUUCAAAGCCAGCCUCAGCAACUUAGCAAGGCCCAAACGAGACCCGAUCUCAAAAUAAAAUAAAAAAUGGGCUGGGAAUGUGCCUCAGUGACUAGGUACCCCCUGGGUUCGAUUCCUGGUAGCAAAAAAGGAAAAAGACUGGAAUAAAACUUAAAGAAUUACUCAUCUGGUCCCUUGGUAGGGAGGGCAUUUCCAAGCAGAGAAUGAAACCAUAAAGAUCAAUGCCUGCAUUUUCACUACCUUAACAAACCUCAAUAGGCCAAGGAACUCAGGGACAAAAUUGAAAAGUGAAAUGAGAAAUUAGGAAAUGUUUGUAACCAUGACAGAACUAGCUAAUAAUACCCAUGACAUGUGAAAGAGUACUCGCAAACCAGCAAGAAAAGGGCAGGCUGUGCAGAAGAGCAAGCAAAAGCAAAUGACCUGGUAAGGUGUGAAAAGUGCAUAUGACCAAGAAGCCCAAGAGAAGCGUCCAAAGUCCACGGGGACAGAAAGUAGAUCAGAGGCUACCAGAGACUGUGGGAGAGGGGACUGAUUGAACUGACUACUGGCAGGCAAGGAAAUUCUUUCUAAGGUCGGGGAAGUGCUCUAGAUUAGUGGUGGCGGUUGUAUAUUAUACACUUGAAGCAAAUACAGUUUAUGAUACGGGAAUUAGAGCUCAAUUUUUUUUUAAAAGGGGAGGGAUGGUCAGUCACUUAUAAUCCAAACAAGGUAAGUAAAGUACUUUUCACUGAGAAGUUGGUCAAGUUAUUAAAAAUAAAACCCAGUGGCCAGGCACAGUGGCACAUGCCUGUAAUCCCAGCAGCUCGGGAGGCAGAGGCAGGAGGAUCAUGAGUUCAAAGCCAGCCUCAACAAUUUAGCGAGGCGCUUAAGCUAACUCAGUGAGACCCUGUCUCUAAGAAAAUACAGAAUAGGGGUGGGGAAUGUGGCUCAGUGGUCGAGUGUCCCUGAAUUCAUCCCUGGUACCCAAAAAUAAAUACAUAAAUAAAACGCAAUAUAAAUAAAACGCACUGCUGCACGGAUAGUGAUUAGGUGAGUAUGACCUUUCUGGAAACCACUUGAAAAAGACUCAUCAGAAGCAUUAGAAAUGGCUAAUGACAGGCUGGGGUGCAGCCUGUUACCCACAGGACCCUGGGUUUGAUGCUGGCACUACGCGCCGCACACAGAGCCUUCCUAAGCACAUGAGGAGGUGCUCAACUUCAUCAGCCCCGGGAUGCAUGUCAAACCACGAGGAAACCUGCACUGCUCUCGCCCAUGACCCCUCCAGUACAGGCUGAGGCAGGAGGGUCACCAGUUCCAAGCCAGCUGAAAAAGAAUUUUUUUUUGUCCAAAAAGAAAAUACUGAUCCAUCUCUCUCUCUCUCUCUCUCUCUCUCUCUCUCUCUCUCUCACUCACACGCACACACACACACGAAUCUUGGAAAACACAGUACUUAGUAAACUAAGCCAGAUGCAGAAGACCACAUAUACUGCAAUUCCAUUUACACGGGACACCUAAAGUAGACAAAUCUACAGAGAAAAAGCAGGCAGUGGUUCCAGGGCCUGGGAGAGGGAGGAUUGGGGGUGGGGUAAAAGGUUUCUUUCUGAAAUGAUGAAAAUGUUCUAAAAUUAGAAUACGAUGGGGGUUGAACCCCUCUAAAUGAGGGAUCUUGUGGUGUGUGAAUGCUCAUAAAGCUGCGACUGGAGAGCAUCACACUUGUCCGGGGCCUCCCCUGCCAGGAAUGUCACCUCAGAGAACAAUCAGAGAAGGGAUCCAAAAUUCCUGUGCAGAAUGUUCAGGGCGUCUGCAUCCAGCAGAAAUGUCUGAAAUGGGUCCUGACAAUAAGGGAAGGGAGAAACCCCUCCCAGCCCUUCUCUGCCAGCUCAUCACUGGGGCAGCCAAUGUUUUAAAAAGACCUGGUAAUGCAAAAGAGGUUCCUGUGGGGGGAGAGGGGAGCACCAGGUGAUGGCAGCAGGAGGGGGCGGGGCCAGGCCUGGGCUCCACGGGCACCAAGGCAGUGCAGCCAGGGGGAGAGUGAGCCCUAAGGAAUCACCACUGGGGCAGAGGUGACAAUAACAGAGUACAAGGACAUCUGCCUAAAUGGCAAUGCCGGGUCUCUUGGGCAGUGGGAUGGCAGGGUUAUUCAGUUACUUUUAUAAUUUCAUCUGAGUUUUGUUAACUGAAAAACCAGACAGACGUGGAGACCCAGGUAGGUCAGUUUCCUAAAUGACACACAGCUUUUGGAGGGGACAACACAGGCCCCGGUUCUAGAGGGUUCCCUAGAAAAACAUCUCUUCUGCCCAGUCCCCACAUGGACUUCGAACACCAUCAGGCCUAGCAGGGACACCUGGGCAAGGGCCGUGUACUGUGACAGGGUCCAGGCAGCAGCCCUGUAGGUGAGUCCCCAGGCCAAGUGGCCCCCAUCCACGGGUCCCAGGGGCAGACCCAGUGCUCAGCAGCUCCUGUGGCCUCUUCCCAGCUUGGAGAGGAGGUCAGAAAGAGGGUGCAGGGGCCCCAGAAAGGAAGCUGAGACGGCCCCUCCUGCUUUGGGGGAGGAAGCCCUGCUCCCCGCCCGCAAGGGCCUCAGCGCGGAGACCUUCUCGUGCCUUUGGUUUCCUUUUCCAUUCACAGGGUGGGCGGGGGAUUUCCACGGCGCCUGCCAGCGGGUGCCUGGAGGGGAGGACGCCCAGGCCUUCAAUGCAGUGAGCCCCUUCUUCCACCCCUCAGGUGGGAGCACAUCAUGCCACGCCAUCCCAUAGUCUGUUUUGGGUUCAAAACAACUCAGCAAGGAAAGCACUGACAUCCCAUUUUUCCAUAAUGAGAAACUGAGGUUCAGAGAAGCCAAAUUCUCAACCUAGUGCUACACAGCAAGGGCACAAGAGCCAAGAUCUGAAUUCAGCCAUGUCUAUCGUCCUCUGCAGCUACCCCACCACCCAGCCCACAGCCUCACCUCCCCAAAUACACAGAUACAAAACCAAAAGCCCAUGGAACUGGGUGGGAGCGGGAACCGGCCAACGAGGCAGGAUGGUGAUGAUAAUCCUCCUGGCUAACACCCUCCCUGUGGACUUGGGCACCUUCUAGUCUGCAGAUUCAUAGAAUUUGAGCUGAAAGGAAGCGCCUCGAUACCAUCUGCCCGCGGUUUCAGUGUGGCUGGGGUUUCUUCUAAACGCCAAAGCACUCUUCCAAAAACGAUUUUGCACGGAACCCCAAUGGGGGCAGCUGGGCUGCUGUGCGCAUCUGGGGCCAUUGGAGCCCUGCCUACCUCCUCCCUCCCACCAGUCCUGGAAAGCCUGGUUCAAGCCCCUGAUCACCCACUUCAGAGCUCUGAGAGGGGCAGGCACCUGCUUGGGUCACACAGCAGCCCAAGGCAGGGAGAGGGCAGGAUCCCUUCUUUCCCCUGGGGACCUUCUGCCUCUGGCCUACUCCAGGGAGAUGGGACUGGGGAGCACUGGCCUCUUAAGCCCCCGUCUGUCCAGUGGUGUAUGUGGGUGCUAUGCAGACUCACCCAGCCUGAAACUGGGGGAGACAGGGGCACUUUCUCCACCUAUAUUGGGGGCCUUAACACAAACCCAGCCCUUGGUGCCUUGGUGAGCCCAUGUGGAACCCCUUUUCUGGCUCCUGUGUGGUCUUAAACAAGUCUCCACCUCUCUGGGCCUCAAGUUUCCUGUCUGUGAGAUGGUGGGUGGGUCCCUGCUCCCAAGGUCUGUGGUGAGGAUUCCGUGGAUGUGUCAAAUAUAGUGUCUGUAACAUGGAAAACAAAGAGCUGCUGUGGUCAUUGUCACCAAGCCCCGAGGGUGUUGGUGCUCCAGGCCCCCGCAGGGCAGCAGCUUGGCUAAUUCUGCAGUGGGGCCUUUCUUCUGAUUUUGCUUGGGGACCCAAGCAGAGAGGGCACCGUGUUGUCUUUCCCAAGGGCGGCAGCAUGGACGGGGCAGAAACAGGACUGGAACCCAGGCCUGAGCACCACAGGCGGCCCCUGCCCACAGCUUCCUGCAGCCUGGCCUCCUCGGCCCCCUGUGCUCCCGCCUUGGAGAGGAAAUGGCCAGGCCCCUGCGGUGGACCGCCCUUCCUUCUGCUUCCUCUCUCCCACAGGCGAGGCAGGGUGGCAGAGGCACCUCCCUGGCUCCACCCAGGCCCUGGCCUGUCUGCUCCUCUGGCCUUGGAGCCUUAGUUUCCUCGUCCCUGGGGCAGGUGCGCCAGGAGCUGCAGCAGGGGCAAACCGUCUGAAGGCCGACACUGGCCCUCUAGUGCGUUUUGCUGGCUUUGCUGCACAGGAUUCAGGGCACGAGGGCCAUCCCGCCUGGCUCUGCCCCUUCUGGCCCAACAGGCCACCAAAGAGCCCAGGAUCAGAGAGGCCGAGCCCUGGUCCCAAGAUGGCAGGCCCAAGCUGCUCGACGCCACCAGGCAGGGCUUUCUCCCCCAGGACAACAAGCUCGCAAGCAGGAACCAUGACAGCUCCUUGCUGCAGCCUAGUGAGGCCUCAUGUCCUCCUGCCCAAGGAAGCUGGCACACAAGGAGCAGCGGGGGAUGGCUCUGAGCCACACUGGCCCCAAGGCUGCCUCCUCUUAGGAGUUCCCCAGGCCCACUGUGCAGGUGAAGGUCUAGGAGCCGCCACCUCCUUCCAGGAGGGACACUGAGAGACACACAGAGUGUGCUGGGUCCACCAGGUCCUGGGCAUUCCUGAUGAGGGCCCCUCUUCCCAUUUGUCAACUGGUGGCCGAGGACAUGGCCACAGGAGUUUUUCCUGCUCUGAGAGCCCAAAACAGGGAACCCGGCCAGGAAGGGCCCUUGUGAGAGCCCUCAGCUGCCCAGGUUCCAGCCUCCCUCGGCCACUCACAAGCUGCAGGCCCUUGAGCAGACCUUGCUCAGCCAGAGUGUCCCCAUCUGUGAAUGGGUGCCACAGGGCUGCCAAAAAGACUACCUGAAGCAGGUGAGCAAGGGCCUGGUGGAUAAGGCACCCGCUAACGCUGGCUGAGCAGGCGUUCCUAAGAGGAGCUGGGCUCUAUCACUGUCCUCUAUCACUGUCCUGCUAGACACAUAAGGAAGACUGAGACUCGGCCUCCAGGGCCAUCCCAGCUGGCAGGCUCCGAGACCACCGUGGCCAACCCAGGCCUGGGCCUAUGAGGGGACUGAGGCCCAAGACACCAUUCUGCUCCAUCUGAAAUGGGCCCCUGGCUCCCAGGGAGGACAUGCACCAAGGCCAGCACCCCAGCCCAGUAGCCUGAUCUAGCCCAGUGGCCUGAUCCAGCCCCUACCCUGCAGUGGCUCAGGCCAGGCCAACAGGGACCCUCCCACAGAUGCCAGGUCCACUGAGUAUAUAAGAGGAGCCAGACACCUGGAUUCUUUUUUUUUUUUUUUUAAUUUUUAACAUUUAUUUAUUAGUCUUCGGCAGACACAACAUCUUUGUUUGUAUGUGGUGCUGAGGAUCGAACCGGGGCCGCACGCAUGCCAGGCGAGCGCGCUACCGCUUGAGCCACAACCCCAGCCCCGGGACACCUGGAUUCUUGUGUGGAAUCUCUGCGUUUCAUCUUCUUAAAUAUUGGCAUAUAUAUACCUUAAAUAUAAGGUGUCCCCCCCAAAGCUCCUGUCAAUGCAGGGAUAUUCUGGGUGGUAACUGUAGGCAAGUGGGGCGAGGCUGGAGGAGGCGGGUCUCUAGAUUGUGCCCUGGAAGGAUCCAUCUUCCCUGCAGAUCCCUCCCCUAUCUGCUUCCUGGCUGCCAUGAGCUGAGCAGCUUCCCCAUGCUGGGCCCUCCGCCAUGAAGUGCUGCCUCACCAUGGGCCCAGAGCAAUGGAGUCGGCCGUCUGUAGACAGAGACCUCUGAAACCAUGAAUCCCAAAUAACUUGUCAUAUACUUUGGUCAUGGUGAAACCAAGCUGACUAAAACAGCAACUGACCCAAUUCCCUAUUUUCCUUUUAAUACCAAGUGAGGUGGCACCUUUAGCUGCCCUGGCAGGAGCUGUCCUGCCUCUCUGUCAGUCGGAGCUGGUUCAACAGGGAGCUGGGGAUAAGGGCGCCUCAGGUGCAGAUCUCCUUAGCUGCAAGACCUAGAGCUCGCUUCUCUUUAUGCCUCUCAGCCUCAGUUUCCUCAUCUGUUCGAUGAGUCAGUAAGCUCUGCCUCAUGGGAGGGUCCUGGUGUCUGGGGCAGUGCUGAUGCACACUGCGCACAGUCAAGGUCACAAGCACACACUGCCUAUCCUGGUCCAUCCCAGGCCCAGACCUGCCAGAGAAGGAGGGACUGCAGGAUCAGGGGGCAUGGAAACUCGAGGGUCUUCCAGGAGAAAAAUCAGGCCAGCCUGGUGCCAACAGGCCACAGGUUACUCUGGAGAGUCCCUCUGGGCCACUGCCACCACUAAGUAGCCCUGGAAAGUGUCUUAGCCCUGGUUGUACCCACACCCUUAGCAUAAAACCUAGAGUCCUCAUCAUGACCAAGAAGGCCUACCCUUCUCCAGUGUCAUCCCUUCUUGCUCCAUAUACUCCAACCCCUGUGUUAGGGUCUGUAAACAAGUCAAGAUGGCGCCUGGCAUUUUGCCAGAGGGAGUGGUUUGUGAAGUAACGCCAGGGAGCCAUUAAGUGUGGAGAUUCCUUAUUGGUUGACUGCUGUAACUAGUUUAUGUUAAUUAAGAUAAGCUGUGUGGAAUGUAUAUAUACCCCUCCUGUCCUACAAUAAACGGCUCCCACUCCUGCUG